UUCUUAAGAGCAAACUAAUCUUCUAAAUAUUGAUGACCUUCGAGGUAUUUUUUGAACAAUUGGACUCAAUCUUUCUCUCUACAUCCAUUGGGAUCUUCCCGUUCUUCACAAUCUUCCACUAUUAAUUUUACCGAACAAAGUUUUUAAUCGCAGAAGGCUAGAACUCAACCUUUAGAACAUCCACAUUGAUUAUCCUCUUAC
rnacentral:sRNA from 1 species